CUUAUCAAGAGAAGUGUAGGGACUGGCCCGAUGAUACUUCGGCAACAUGAUGAUGCGUGUGCCAAAUCCAGUAGCAUAAUUCAUGCUAGAAGAUAAGA
rnacentral:ncRNA from 1 species